rnacentral:rRNA from 1 species
UGGGGAAUAUUGGACAAUGGGCGCAAGCCUGAUCCAGCCAUGCCGCGUGAGUGAUGAAGGCCCUAGGGUUGUAAAGCUCUUUCACCGGUGAAGAUAAUGACGGUAACCGGAGAAGAAGCCCCGGCUAACUUCGUGCCAGCAGCCGCGGUAAUACGAAGGGGGCUAGCGUUGUUCGGAUUUACUGGGCGUAAAGCGCACGUAGGCGGACUAUUAAGUCAGGGGUGAAAUCCCGGGGCUCAACCCCGGAACUGCCUUUGAUACUGGUAGUCUUGAGUUCGAGAGAGGUGAGUGGAAUUCCGAGUGUAGAGGUGAAAUUCGUAGAUAUUCGGAGGAACACCAGUGGCGAAGGCGGCUCACUGGCUCGAUACUGACGCUGAGGUGCGAAAGCGUGGGGGGCAAACAGG